CCCUUAGAUGUUCGGGGCUGCACAUGCGCUACACUGAAGGAAUCAACGUGUAUUUGCCCUUGCCCGAAAGGGUUGGGUAACCCGUUGAACCUCCUUCGUGCUAGGGAUUGGGGCUUGUAAUUAUUCCCCAUGAACGAGGAAUUCCCAGUAAGCGCGAGUCAUAAGCUCGCGUUGAUUACGUCCCUGCCCUUUGUACACACCGCCCGUCGCUCCUACCGAUCGAAGAGUUAGGUGAAUUGUUUUGAUCGAUAAGAUUUGACUAUGGUCAACUCUCGUUGUGAAAUUCUGUGAAUCUGACUGUUUAGAGGAAGGAAAAGUCGUAACA
rnacentral:rRNA from 1 species